UCCAUGUCUACUGAAAAAAAAAAGCCUGGGUUGCCUACUAAGUUCCCACCAAGUUUGACAUGUUUUCCAUGUUCUGCACAAAAAUAAUUCAUGCUUGGCUGGGCUUUAUAUGAAUAGCUUACCUCUGUAUAUUCUGCUACUUCCCUCAUUUGAAUUCAAAUGAUGAGUGUGUCAUACGGGUUAAUCAAUUGAUGUGCUUCAUCUAUAUAUAUUUUGCUGAUGGUUACUAACUUCUGGUGUCUAUGGAUAUUAGUUGAGUUAACUUGAGUGUUAACAUCCACUUUUUUCCCUUGGCGUGCUGGCACCAAUGCAUAUUUAAACAUACGUUACUAGGUUU
rnacentral:lncRNA from 1 species